GACGUAGGGCGCAAGCGUUGUCCGGAUUUAUUGGGCGUAAAGAGCGCGCAGGCGGUCGUUCAAGUCGAGUGUGAAAGCCCCCGGCUCAACUGGGGAGGGUCAUUCGAUACUGAUCGACUCGAAGGCAGGAGAGGGAAGUGGAAUUCCCGGUGUAGUGGUGAAAUGCGUAGAUAUCGGGAGGAACACCAGUGGCGAAGGCGACUUCCUGGCCUGUUCUUGACGCUGAGGCGCGAAAGCUAGGGGAGCAAACGGG
rnacentral:rRNA from 1 species